rnacentral:rRNA from 1 species
GACGAACGCUGGCGGCGUGCUUAACACAUGCAAGUCGAACGGAAAGGCCCUGCUUUUGUGGGGUGCUCGAGUGGCGAACGGGUGAGUAACACGUGAGUAACCUGCCCUUGACUUUGGGAUAACUUCAGGAAACUGGGGCUAAUACCGGAUAGGAGCUCCUGCUGAAUGGUGGGGGUUGGAAAGUUUCGGCGGUUGGGGAUGGACUCGCGGCUUAUCAGCUUGUUGGUGGGGUAGUGGCUUACCAAGGCUUUGACGGGUAGCCGGCCUGAGAGGGUUACCAGCCACAUUGGGACUAAGAUACGGCCCAGACUCCUACGGGAGGCAGCAGUGGGGAAUAUUGCACAAUGGGCGGAAGCCUGAUGCAGCAACGCCGCGUGCGGGAUGACGGCCUUCGGGUUGUAAACCGCUUUCGCCUGUGACGAAGCGUGAGUGACGGUAAUGGGUAAAGAAGCACCGGCUAACUACGUG